UAAUACGUAGGGGGCGAGCGUUGUCCGAAGUUACUGGGCGUAAAGCGCGCGUAGGCGGUUGCUUAAGUUAGAUGUGAAAUCCUGGGGCCCAACCCCAGAACUGCAUCUAAAACUGGGCGACUUGAGGACGGGAGAGGGCAGUGGAAUUCCUGGUGUAGCGGUGAAAUGCGUAGAUAUCAGGAGGAACACCCGUGGCGAAGGCGGCUGCCUGGUCCGUAUCUGACGCUGAGGCGCGAAAGCUAGGGGAGCGAACGGGAUUAGAUACCCCGGUAGUCCUAGCCGUAAACGAUGGAUACUAGGUGUAAGUGGUAUCGACCCCACUUGUGCCGCAGCUAACGCAUUAAGUAUCCCGCCUGGGGAGUACGGCCGCAAGGUUG
rnacentral:rRNA from 1 species